UGAAUGAUAUGUCUAUGUGUGUGUAUUGAGGAAAGAACCAGCCCUUAAGUAGGCAAAGAAGGACAUUUUUUGGAUAGAUUUUGGUCCACCAAAAAUUUAUCCAAAAAGGACUGAUUUUGUGUGCUAAACACUGUUCAAAGGGCUGUCCAAAAGAUAAAAGGACAGCCUGAAGAUCUGCUGUAGUAGAAGCAAGGAGGAAAGAUGUCAUUUCAACUACCCUAGUAGAAAAAAACAUAGGCUAUUAGUACCCUAUAUCAUGAUUGAUUUAAACUAAACUUUAGCUUUAAACCAAUAGCACCAAUCUACUUGCUCAAACACAAAUCAAAAAUAGAAAUAUGACCUAACAAGACUUAACAAUUUGAACUAUUAAUCGACAACAUAAGUCAGAAUUUAACAAAAUUAAAGUCAAGCUAAAUGAUUAUUAAACAGUGAAGCAAUUAGAAAACUAACUAAUCAAAGACGAAAUCAGAAAUAUUAAACAUGAAUUAGGCGGAACUUAAACCAAAAAAACUACAAUCAAACACAAAGGGAAAACCAGAAACAAAAUUGCUGGAAGCCAUCAAUCUGAUUUAGUCCACUAAUUAUACUAUCUGAAAAUGACUUAAACAAACAAGCAACUAAACCGACAAAUAGUUAUGCCGACAUGUUGAAUCUUGAAAUUUUAGUUAAUUAGUACGACUCAUUAAGCAUUAUUUAAAAGAAACGACAAUUAGAAGCUAAAAGGUUAUAAACUUAAAAUUAAAACUAAUUUCAGAGCUAAGCAAAAUACAUGUUAACAGUGAGGUAAAACUAAUGAAACCGAUUAAGUUAAACAAAGACAAAAAUCAGAAACUAGAUUAAAUAUGACAAAGACAAUUAUUAACAGAAUUUCAACUUAGAAUAACAAGAUCUAAAAAUCAAUCACAAAGGUAACAGAAAAUUAAAUACAAAGAGAAAAAGAUUAGGAUUCAUACCAACGAGGGAACAGUGUUAACUCGAACAACAAGAAGGGGUCGUGGAUGCCGAGCAAAGGCAGUUCGAGCAAGCUUCGAUUGUUGAUACUCAUAGAAACCAUGGAAUCUGGUGAAUCAAAGUUCGACUUCUAUGACAUCAACAAUACAACCUUAUUCGGAGCCGGUGUGGAGGUGAAAACUUGAGACAAUGGCAAUUUCGGGUUGGAGAUAAGAAAAUAAGAGGAAGAGAGAAGGAGAAAGGUAUAAACUUUAUGGAGUUGAGGUAAUUGAUUGGCAGUGGAGCAGCAACAACAGUGAGGUGGUCGGCCGUAGUGGAGGGCUUUCGGGGUGAAAUGGGUAUGAAAUGAUAGAUCUCGAGGAGAUUUAUCUGUUUAUGUGUGUGUUACAAGGUAUGGAAGGUUAGAUUUUGCCGGAUUUUAGGGUGGCGGCGGCUAUGGUGUUUUCGGAUUUAGGUAGAUUUGGUGAGAUUGAGGGUGAUUUCGGGGAUUUGAGAAUUGGAUAUGGGUAGAGGAUAAAAAGAGGAGAAGAUUGUUAUAAUUUGGGGGUCUUUGAAGGUUGGCCGCCGGUGGGCAAUUUUCGGUGGCGGAGCAUAGAGGCAGUGGGCGGAGGGAUGAGAGAGAGUGAAGAGAGA
rnacentral:lncRNA from 1 species